CCAGCGGUGUGUUAUCAGCCCUGGGAGUGCUCUCCUUAGAUAGUCCUCUUACAAGUUUGCGAGACUCCACUGCAUGGAACAUCUGGGAAGCAUCUUCACAGCAUGUUUUUGAAAGAGACAACAGACCAAGCAGAAUUGCUGCCAACAGGGAAAACACAGAACUAAAGGAGUAGAAACAGAGGCACACAGGUGAUUUGUACCUUCUACGCUAUAAUGGCCAACAUUGACAUCUACCCACGAACUGUUACUACGUGUGCCUUGGAUGUGUCAAGAUGAAAAGUCUUCUGUGCCCUACUUUGAAAAUACAGAAACCGUUCUGCUUUCAUGAAGAUUCACAACAGUAACAUGCAACUCCUGAGCACAGUUUGUUUGGACCCAUUCACUUCAACCUCACAACUUAAGAAACACGCAACCUUCAUCAUUGCCAAAGCUCAAACAGUUACUUCUCUCACUGUGAGGAAAAGGG
ensembl:lncRNA